GAUGAACGCUGGCGGCGUGCCUAAUACAUGCAAGUCGAGCGAACGGACGAGAAGCUUGCUUCUCUGAUGUUAGCGGCGGACGGGUGAGUAACACGUGGAUAACCUACCUAUAAGACUGGGAUAACUUCGGGAAACCGGAGCUAAUACCGGAUAAUAUUUUGAACCGCAUGGUUCAAAAGUGAAAGACGGUCUUGCUGUCACUUAUAGAUGGAUCCGCGCUGCAUUAGCUAGUUGGUAGGGUAACGGCUUACCAAGGCAACGAUGCAUAGCCGACCUGAGAGGGUGAUCGGCCACACUGGAACUAAGACACGGUCCAGACUCCUACGGGAGGCAGCAGUAGGGAAUCUUCCGCAAUGGGCGAAAGCCUGACGGAGCAACGCCGCGUGAGUGAUGAAGGUCUUCGGAUCGUAAAACUCUGUUAUUAGGGAAGAACAUAUGUGUAAGUAACUGUGCACAUCUUGACGGUACCUAAUCAGAAAGCCACGGCUAACUACGUG
rnacentral:rRNA from 1 species